AGUGAACGCUGGCGGCAGGCCUAAUACAUGCAAGUCGAACGGCAGCACAGCAGAGCUUGCUCUGUGGGUGGCGAGUGGCGGACGGGUGAGGAAUACAUGGGAAUCUGCCCGGUCGUGGGGGAUAACGUAGGGAAACUUACGCUAAUACCGCAUGCGCCCUUCGGGGGAAAGCCGGGGACCUUCGGGCCUGGCGCGAUUGGAUUAGCCCAUGUCGGAUUAGCUAGUUGGCGGGGUAAAGGCCCACCAAGGCGACGAUCCGUAGCUGCGCGUCUGAGAGGAUGAUCAGCCACACUGGAACUGAGACACGGUCCAGACUCCUACGGGAGACAGCAGUAGGGAAUAUUGGACAAUGGGCGCAAGCCUGAUCCAGCCAUGCCGCGUGAGUGAAGAAGGCCUUCGGGUUGUAAAGCUCUUUUGUCCGGAAAGAAAAGCAUCCAGUUAAUACCUGGGUGUCCUGACGGUACCGGAAGAAUAAGCACCGGCUAACUUCGUGCCAGCAGCCGCAGUAACAC
rnacentral:rRNA from 1 species